UGUCCGUGACCCUCAGAGGUCCUUUGCCCUGGGAAUCCAGUGGAUUGUAGUUAGAAUACUAGGGGGCAUCCCGGGGCCCAUCGCCUUCGGCUGGGUGAUCGACAAGGCCUGUCUGCUGUGGCAGGACCAGUGUGGCCAGCAGGGCUCCUGCUUGGUGUACCAGAAUUCGGCCAUGAGCCGCUACAUACUCAUCAUGGGGCUCCUGUACAAGGAAGAAGAGAAUGAAUUUAGAAGGCUGUAAGCCCCAUCUGAGCCUUACACAUAGUUCUCCUUGAAUUGGAUUUUCACCAAGGCCAUGAUGGAUGUGGAGUCUCGGCUUUCUGACAACGUCUUCCAGAGCAGGCUUUCUCUAGAGGGUGGACUGCCUGUGUUCUCCUGGGAGAGAAUGCAUUUGCUUCCGAUGCCCAGGGCACGAAAGAGGUGGACGAAACAACGGAAGUGGAGGGGGUGGAUUCUCUACCUGGGAAACCCAGCAGGGCAUGCUCAUAUUAGAAUUAAGAUCUUAUAAUAAGUGUGCAGAUGCGCCUGUUCUAAGGAAAUAAAGGGUUCUGCCCUCC
rnacentral:sRNA from 1 species